rnacentral:lncRNA from 1 species
AGGGGAGCAGAGUGAAACGUGGGGGAUCUGGUGUUGAGUGCCCACGUGAAACAGAAGGCACGAGGGGCCACCAAGCACUGAGACUCCUGAAAGGAAUGUCUCAAAUAUAUUCAUUUUGUCAUCUGGGUAUUCAUCUGUCCCAGUUUUGACAUUACUAAAACUGAAAAGACAUUGCCAUUGGUGAUGAUCAGUUAACAUUACAUGAGCAUCUGAGGAAGAGACAGAGGACUUAUACAGGAGGAAGCUGAUGAUUAGCUCCUUGUUCAAGAGCUGGCCUCUGACAGAGGAGUGGGAUUGGUACAUGUGGAGAAGCACUAGUGUGCUCCAGAUAGAAAUAAUGAUGUCAACAAUGGAGAUGGAUGUGUUUGGGGCAUGUGCCAUGACAAUGGAGACUGGUGAUUGACUGUGGUGUAUGGUCUGAAAAGAAGGAAGAGAGAAAACACAACUGGAUCUGUGAGGGGAGGGCUAGGGAAUUAAUCACUUGGAUACUGGACAGUAAUUGAAGAUGUGACAAGACACAGCAGGGCUCCAGGCUGCAGAGAGAGACAAGUGAUUAGAAUGCAGCCAGGGAA